GCACCUGUGUUUUUCAGAAUUGCAAAAAACUGGGCUGGCUGAACUCUGUGCCUGGAGCUGUGUUCCAAAAUGUUACAUGGCCAAGAGUCACACUGUCCCCUGACUUUCACUUUACUUCCUAUACAUUUGCAAAUGAGGACUAUGUCAUUACCACUGUCUUCUAACUUCUCAGAGGACUCGUGUAAUACAAGGAAACACUCCUCUGGCAUAUAACUAACUCCACCUAAUCAUGGUAACAUUGAACUACCUGAAUAUUCGGAGAAGGGUUGGCUAGUAGACCUGACAGACUUGGCCCAUUUCCUGUCU